rnacentral:rRNA from 1 species
CUGGCUCAGAUUGAACGCUGGCGGCAGGCUUAACACAUGCAAGUCGAACGGUAGCAGGAAGAAGCUUGCUCUUGCUGACGAGUGGCGGACGGGUGAGUAAUGCUUGGGAAUCUGGCUUAUGAGGGGGAUAACUACUGGAAACGGUAGCUAAUACCGCGUAAUGUCUACGGACUAAAGGGUGGGACUUUCGGGCCACCUGCCAUAAGAUGAGCCCAAGUGGGAUUAGGUAGUUGGUGAGGUAAUGGCUCACCAAGCCUGCGAUCUCUAGCUGGUCUGAGAGGAUGACCAGCCACACUGGAACUGAGACACGGUCCAGACUCCUACGGGAGGCAGCAGUGGGGAAUAUUGCACAAUGGGGGGAACCCUGAUGCAGCCAUGCCGCGUGAAUGAAGAAGGCCUUCGGGUUGUAAAGUUCUUUCGGUGAUGAGGAAGGUGUUUUGUUUAAUAGACAAAGCAAUUGACGUUAGUCACAGAAGAAGCACCGGCUAACUCCGUGCCAGCCGCCGC